GAUGAAGAAGUAGCGAAAUGCGAUACGUAAUGUGAAUUGCAGAAUUCAGUGAAUCAUCGAAUCUUUGAACGCAUAUUGCGCUCUCUGGUAUUCCGGAGAGCAUGCUUGUUUGAGUAUCAGUAAACACCUCAACUUCCAUAUCUUUUUUGAAAUGGGAGUUGGACUUGAGUGAUCCCAACGCUUUUCCUCACCGAAAAGUGGCGGGUUACUUGAAAUGCAGGUGCAGCUGGACUUUUCUCUGAGCUAUAAGCAUAUCUAUUUAGUCUGCCUAAAAAACAGAUUAUUACCUUUGCUGCAGCUAACAUAAAGGAGAUUAGUUCUUGUGCUGACUGAUGCAGGAUUCACAAAGACAGGCUUCGGCCGACUUUGUAAACUCGAUCUCAAAUCAAGUAAGACUACCCGCUGAACUUAAGCAUAUCAAUAAGCGGAGGA
rnacentral:misc_RNA from 1 species